CCCGGCCUUACUGGGGACAGCCUGGCCCCGCUCUGGAGGCGGCGCUCCGGAGGCGGGGGGUGGGUGUGGGGAGGCCAGUCUGACGUGGUUCCGGUGCCCCCUAGCAAGCCUUGCCAGUCCUCCUGCCUGAGCCACGGCCCCCGUCCCCGCGGGAGCUUCUUGACGCAAAAAACGCGGCCUGUUCCGGGGUCCUGGUUCCUUUCUUAAAAGACCCACAUUUUUGCCGGUCCCUGGCGUUGAGAGAGCUGUGAGCUAAGAUUUCUGUGCGCGGGGACCAGGGUUCGAAGUUGCUAGAGCCGGAGACAUCGCUGCUCAGAUGAGGCUCGUGAGGAACCCUUAAGAGACAGAAAACAGUUUCUGAAGGAAACGGCACGAUUCAAUUAUAUGGCUAUUCUUGUCAUCCUUGUGACCAGUGCUGUCAAAUAGCAAUAUGAUGCGAUCCACACAUGUAUUCAAAGAAUUACCAAUAGGCGCAGAAAAAACCCCAGGAACUGAGAUAAAAUUUCAUAUGUUGUGUUCCGGAAAAUCACUUUGAGCAGAACCAAGGGUGCUUGCCAUCAAGAACUACUUUGGGGGAAGUUUCUGUUUACAGGCUUAGGCUGGGCGGCUUUCUGGAGUACAGACUGUAACUUUCUCACUAAAUUGAUAUCAAAAUGAGUUUUGGCUCAACUCAAGGAAUCUCUGCCCUUUGGGGAAGUGCAGCCGCUAUGGAUUCUUUAAAAUCAGCAACCUCUACAGCACCUACCCAGACUCAUGCCAAGUUUACAGAGAGCUCCCUAACAAGGAACUGCUGGCCUGUAAAAUCCCAGCUGGCUCCUCACUGGGCCCCUGCAAAGCCUGAGAGCCCCAUGGGAAGAACAGUAUGCAGCCGUGAGGCGGCUGCGGAAAACGCUUCCAAGGAACUUCACUGUCCCCUGGAGGAACCAAACUUCUGCUGAGGAGAGGCAAACCUGGCUUUCUCACUCUCGCCUGGAAGGCUGUUCCCUGUCCCAACUGUCACCUGCUUGAAGUAGCCGUUCUUGGUCACCUGUGCCCAAAGAGGAGCCACUGAGGAACAGCAAAUGCCUUUAACAGAUGCCCAAAUGGAGGCCCAUGGAGGUUCAGUGAUGUGCUCAAGCGAGUUAGCAGUCAAACUAAUAAACCUGUUUGGUCACUAUGCUUUAA